GAUGAACGCUGGCGGCGUGCCUAAUACAUGCAAGUCGAGCGAACAGAUGAGGAGCUUGCUCCUCUGACGUUAGCGGCGGACGGGUGAGUAACACGUGGAUAACCUACCUAUAAGACUGGGAUAACUUCGGGAAACCGGAGCUAAUACCGGAUAAUAUAUUGAACCGCAUGGUUCAAUAGUGAAAGACGGUUUUGCUGUCACUUAUAGAUGGAUCCGCGCCGCAUUAGCUAGUUGGUAAGGUAACGGCUUACCAAGGCAACGAUGCGUAGCCGACCUGAGAGGGGGAUGGGCCACACUGGAACUGAGACACGGUCCAGACUCCUACGGGAGGCAGCAGUAGGGAAUCUUCCGCAAUGGGCGAAAGCCUGACGGAGCAACGCCGCGUGAGUGAUGAAGGUCUUCGGAUCGUAAAACUCUGUUAUUAGGGAAGAACAAAUGUGUAAGUAACUAUGCACGUCUUGACGGUACCUAAUCAGAAAGCCACGGCUAACUACGUG
rnacentral:rRNA from 1 species